rnacentral:tRNA from 1 species
GGAAGCGUGCCUGAAUUAAAGGAUCACUUUGAUAGAGUGAAUCAUAAGAGUUAAAAUCUCUUCACUUCCU